rnacentral:rRNA from 1 species
UACGAAGGGGGCUAGCGUUGUUCGGAUUUACUGGGCGUAAAGCGCACGUAGGCGGAUCGUUAAGUCAGGGGUGAAUCCUGGAGCUCAACUCCAGAACUGCCUUUGAUACUGGCGAUCUUGAGUCCGGAAGAGGUGAGUGGAACUCCUAGUGUAGAGGUGGAAUUCGUAGAUAUUAGGAAGAACACCAGUGGCGAAGGCGGCUCACUGGUCCGGUACUGACGCUGAGGUGCGAAAGCGUGGGGAGCAAACAGG